AACGUAGGACACAAGCGUUAUCCGGAGUUACUGGGCGUAAAGGGCGUGUAGGCGGACCUAUAAGUCUAUUCUGAAAGCUCCUGGCUAAACUGGGAGAGGCGAAUGGAGACUGUAGAUCUAGAGUGAGGAAGAGGAAAGUGGAAUUCCGCGUGUAGUGGUGAAAUGCGUAGAGAAUGCGGAGGAACACCAGUGGCGAAAGCGACUUUCUGGUCCUUAACUGACGCUGAGGCGCGAAAGCAUGGGGAGCGAACGGGG
rnacentral:rRNA from 1 species